AUGAUGGCGGCACCCUGCAGGCUGUGGGUGGUGAGCCUGGGCCUGUUCCGCCUUCCAUUUGAAUGCUGGGAAACUACACAGAAGCCCCAUGCAAGUGGUGCCUAUUGUUUUCAUGAUCGGAGACUUCUUUCUGAUACUAAAUCAGAGUGCAAUUCCUGUGUAGAAACUGAGGACAGAAAAGUAAGUUGCUUGUUUAAAUGUAAUUUAUGUCAGGCCAGUCUAGUAAGUAUUUCUUUGAUUGGUUUAUGUUUUCAAUUUAGCUAUGUGAAAUUAUUUUAAGUUGUUUUAUGUAUGUGUGUUAAAGUUUUCUAACAAUGCCUUACCUAAUGUAGUUGUAUUUUAACUUCAAAUGGUACAAAACACCCUUACUCUAUUGAAUGUGCUUCCAUUAGAAAUAUACCUACUUGUUCAGAAGAGAAUUAUAACCUUACUUUUGUGAAACUAUGAAUGGCCUAAAAGACAAUUGCACUUCCUAUUCUUAAUUCCAUUAAUAGUAAAAUUACUGCAUGGUGUCUUUCAUGAUAAUGCUGGCAUACCAA
rnacentral:lncRNA from 1 species